rnacentral:rRNA from 1 species
UACGUAGGGGGCGAGCGUUGUCCGGAUUUAUUGGGCGUAAAGAGCGUGUAGGCGGCCAGGUAGGUCUGCUGUGAAAACUCGAGGCUCAACCUCGAGACGUCGGCGGAAACCAUCUGGCUAGAGUCCGGAAGAGGAGAGUGGAAUUCCUGGUGUAGCGGUGAAAUGCGCAGAUAUCAGGAGGAACACCAAUUGCGAAGGCAGCUCGCUGGAACGUAACUGACGCUGAGACGCGAAAGCGUGGGGAGCAAACAGG